rnacentral:sRNA from 1 species
UUUAAUUCGGAAUUUCGCCUAAACAAAAGAAAUACAAACGAUUUUUGGCAGUAUAUAUGAUCAUAUACAUAUUCUAAUAAGGGUUGGAGGAUAUAAAAAACAUAUCUCUACAAAGCACCAGUGCUAGUUACUCUAUGGUUUAGGACUUUGUUAGGUUUAUUGAUA